rnacentral:rRNA from 1 species
AUACAGAGGGUGCGAGCGUUAAUCGGAAUUACUGGGCGUAAAGCGCGCGUAGGCGGCUUAUUAAGUCAGAUGUGAAAUCCCCGGGCUCAACCUGGGAACUGCAUCUGAUACUGGUAAGCUAGAGUUUUGGAGAGGGAAGUAGAAUUUCAGGUGUAGCGGUGAAAUGCAUAGAGAUCUGAAGGAAUAUCAGUGGCGAAGGCGACUUCCUGGCCAAAAACUGACGCUGAGGUGCGAAAGCGUGGGUAGCAAACGGGAUUAGAAACCCUAGUAGUCC